UCUUUUUCAGAAGAGACUACUGGCAGGUAGGCAGCAGACUGGGACAUACAGAGCAAGAGAUAGUAUAAGUUUUAAGCUAAAGGUUCAAGCAUACCAUUGAUCUGAGAUCAUGGCCUACUGUGGAAGAGAAAACACUGAUGAUUCUCUGCAUCAAGACAGCAGCAUGUCCUCAAAUCAACAAGGGCCAGAUACCCUUCAAAAUUUCCAACUGAGUAGCAGCUUUGUCCUCAACACCAAACUGGCCAAGGAGAAAAGGGAAAUGGAGUUAGGCCUGCCAGCAGCUUCCACCACUGUAGAUGCCAGCUUCCUUAGAAGAUCCAGCAGCAUCCCUUUGAUCAAUGGAUUUGGUGAUAAUUCACAGGGAUUUCAAGCUGACACCGUGAGAAUGAGAAGGAACAGCUCACCAUUUCUGAACCGCCAUGCUUUGUUUCUGCCUUCCCGCACUCGUACAUCUGCCAACCGGAUUUUCCAAAUCAAACAAGAAGAAGGGAUGGAUUUAGCAAGCAGAGAAGCAAUGCAUGAACGGAAAAUGCAUACUGCUAUGCAGAAUGGCAACACCACUGUGAAGCAACUAACUAUAAGGAACAUCCAACUGAUUCCAGUCACCCCAACGGCUUCUCUUACCAAGAAACCUAGGAAGGACUAUCAGAACUUUUAGACCAAGGAUCCUGCAAACAUCAAAAAGAAAAGGUAAAGUGGAGCUUGAAAAUCAGCCAAGUUAAAUUUGCACGUGUUACCAUCUUUUAACCUCCCUAAUCUUCUUAACUGUCAACAAAAUGUUUGGGAGAAGAGUUGUCUUAAUCAGAUACAGAACCUUCCCAGUCUGUUCAUGUCUCCAGCAACGAAUAGCUCCAAUGGAAACAACCGAUCCGUAGCUUACAAUAAAAGAAGGGUUGCAUGCA